rnacentral:rRNA from 1 species
CAGUAGUCACGAGUUUGAUCAUGGCUACAGAACGAACGCUGGCGGCGCGCCUAACACAUGCAAGUCGAACGAGAAUCCGGGGCAACCCGGUAGUAAAGUGGCAAACGGGUGAGGAAUACAUGGGUAACCUACCCUUGAGAAGGGAAUAACCCGCCGAAAGGUGAGCUAAUACCCUAUACGCUAUCUUUUUUUCGAAAAGGAUAGGAAAGCCGGGUCGAGGACCUGGUACUCAAGGAGGGGCUCAUGUCCUAUCAGCUUGUUGGUGGGGUAACGGCCUACCAAGGCUACGACGGGUGGCUGGUCUGAGAGGAUGAUCAGCCACACUGGCACUGAGAUACGGGCCAGACUCCUACGGGAGGCAGCAGUGAGGAAUAUUGCGCAAUGGGCGAAAGCCUGACGCAGCGACGCCGCGUGGGGGAUGAAGGUUUUCGGAUUGUAAACCCCUUUCAUGAGGAAAGAUAAAGUGGGUAACCACUUAGACGGUACCUCAAGAAGAAGCCACGGCUAACUUCGUG